rnacentral:rRNA from 1 species
GGGGCUAGCGUUGCUCGGAAUCACUGGGCGUAAAGGGUGCGUAGGCGGGUCUUUAAGUCAGGGGUGAAAUCCUGGAGCUCAACUCCAGAACUGCCUUUGAUACUGAAGAUCUUGAGUUCGGGAGAGGUGAGUGGAACUGCGAGUGUAGAGGUGAAAUUCGUAGAUAUUCGCAAGAACACCAGUGGCGAAGGCGGCUCACUGGCCCGAUACUGACGCUGAGGCACGAAAGCGUGGGGAGCAAACAGG